AUAUGUUGCAGUGCAGGUACAGCUUAUGUUCUCCUGGCUGGUCUAAUUAUGUCUGUGUCUCUCCAGGCAGGGUCUCAGGUGGAGCAGCUGAGUGAGUUGGAAACUUCCCAUGGGUCUCCUCCAGGACUGUCUGCACAUGCUGGCCCUCAUCUACACCUCCCUGCAGGCCAAGAACCCCCUCCGUAGGGCCAGUGCCCUGAGCUCUGUACCAGACUGGCUGCAGGAGCAGACUGUUGGUUGGCUGUCCGGGUGCCUGUCUGACUGUCUGUCUGUCCACUCUCGGCUCAGACCACACCGCAUACCCAUACCCGAUAGACUCCAUCACAUCUUGCCUUGCCUUCCCUCUCGGUACGUAUGGAAUCUCCUCACUUAGGCUGUCUCUUGUGUUUGGUAUAUUUUUUUAGAAGAUACACUUC
rnacentral:lncRNA from 1 species